GCCCUACGGGGCGCAGCAGGCGCGAAAACUCUACAAUGCGGGAAACCGUGAUAAGGGGACACCGAGUGCCAGCAUCAUAUGCUGGCUGUCCAGAUGUGUAAAAUACAUCUGUUAGCAAGGGCCGGGCAAGACCGGUGCCAGCCGCCGCGGUAACACCGGCGGCCCGAGUGGUGAUCGUGAUUAUUGGGUCUAAAGGGUCCGUAGCCGGUUUGGUCAGUCCUCCGGGAAAUCUGAUGGCUCAACCAUUAGGCUUUCGGGGGAUACUGCCAGGCUUGGAACCGGGAGAGGUAAGAGGUACUACAGGGGUAGGAGUGAAAUCUUGUAAUCCCUGUGAGACCACCUGUGGCGAAGGCGUCUUACCAGAACGGGUUCGACGGUGAGGGACGAAAGCUGGGGGCACGAACCGGAUUAGAUACCCGGGUAGUCCCAGCCGUAAACGAUGCUCGCUAGGUGUCAGGCAUGGCGCGACCGUGUCUGGUGCCGCAGGGAAGCCGUGAAGCGAGCCACCUGGGAAGUACGGCCGCAAGGCUGAAACUUAAAGGAAUUGGCGGGGGAGCACAACAACGGGUGGAGCCUGCGGUUUAAUUGGACUCAACGCCGGACAACUCACCGGGGACGACAGCAAUAUGUAGGCC
rnacentral:rRNA from 1 species